GUUUUAAUUAGACAUUUGUCUCACAUGUCCAUGGUGCUGGCAGGAGUCUCUCUAGGAUUUCUCGACCAAGACAUACAGUGGUAAACAAGAUGAAUUUCCACCAUUCAUAACAAUGUGUGCCUUGUAGGAAGAUGCUCAACUAUCUGUUGCUGUUGGCCAUGUUGGAAACUGUAUUUUUAAAAAAAAAGGAAACCUGCUCAUUUUACAAAGGAGUGAGUCACAACCAGACAGCGAAAACUGAGGCCAGAUGGAGCCCUUCCGCCUGAUAGAAAGUAAGGAAGGAAGAAAAAAGAGGAGAAGGAGGAAGGGCCUCAAUGGCUACAACACACUUAUUGUACACCGCAGAGAUUGAAUGUCAUGUAAAACCCCUCUGCCUGAUAGUUUAUCCACGUGGUUUGCCUGGCGUGCCCAGUGUUCUUGAGAGCAGCUUAUUCAUGUGACUUGCCUCAGGCACUCUCUGCUUGAGGCUGGCCUUGCUCCAAUCCCACGUGUGUGAUCAAACUCCAGCUUCAGCUGCCCUUUAUGUAUCCCCUUUUCUGUUUUGUAGUUACAAUAGGUGAUCAUUUGGAGCUGGAUGAGCUGUGUUUUGAGGAUUGUGUACAAGAUCUUUUUAUUUUCAAGCCCUUUUCAUUCUAGAUGAACUUGCUCAAUCUAGGCUAAAGAUUUGCAGUCCAAAGAUUUUAAAUUCCUUCAUAUAGCAAUUUAAUAUUGUACAAUGCAUUAACCCAGAAUAGUGAUCAGUUACUAGUGUACUGGGCAAUUAUUUUAUACCUCUUGUGGUUAUACUUUUCUGCUGGAUAUGUAAGACCAAAUUAAGAUUGAUCAAGUUUUGCUAUUAACAAGGUCAGUUAAGUUUCCUCAGGAUUUACCUUGGAACCAUAUACAGCACCUCUAGCUCUUCAAUCAGUGUCAGCCAUCUGGAUGAGUCAUGGUCAUUGCUUGACCAAGUUGCUUUCUGUGAAAGCUUGGGAGACACUUUUCCUAGUGACUCUCCUUAGGCACACUAUAUGCCAUGAAUCUUUAUCUUCUCUUGUCCUAUAAUCUCCUUGAUCAGGAUUUUUACAGCUCACUAGAGUUGUGGAUAUCACUGAAAAUGUUCUCUCAUGUGGUGGGUCCUCAUUGACUUCUAAGGGCUAGGGCAAAAAUGCUGUCUGUCCUCUUAGCCUGUCUGUCUUUCUAGAUUUUUGCUUAUAUACCUCAGUUGUUGAAUAUACAGAAGAGAAGGUUAAUAACUUAACAUUUUGUAAUGGGGGCAGUGAGCUUAAUACUACUGUUUUAUCUGAAUAUCAAGCAUCUUGGAACAUAAAAUAGAACCAUUAUUUUUUAACAACGAUGGGUGUUCUACUGGUUGAAUCUCUGUAGAAUGCUAACAGGCAACAGUCAUAUAACUUCACAUAGAAAAUUUGAAAUCAAAAUCAUAAACUAUGUUGUAGCAUGACAGUCAUGAUGACACUUUUGUGGCAUACUUAAAUUUCCAUUUUGACAUAGUAUAUCACUUUUAAUCAAUCACCUCUAUGUAAUAUAUAAUAAGGUUUUAUCUAACUCAUUGACCUUUAAUGGGAUGUCACUGAGGAAAUUUGUGACAUUGUCUGGACCACUUAAUGUCUAGGCACCUCUAAGUAUAUAUAGCACACACAUCACUUAAGUUUUUAUUAUUACUGACUGGUGACUUCAUGUUGGCUUGACGUGAUCCUCCUAUCACAAUUAAUUGAAGCACAAAAGAAAGACAAAUUUCUGAAUCUGAAAGAAAAGGUUUAUUACUGUAAACAAUUCCAGUGUUCCAUUUCAGAAGAUAGCACACCUUGAAGGCACGAAUACAUUUAAUGCAGCAUGGCAUUAACAAUGAAUUAUCAUAACCAUGUGAACAACUUAAGUUUCUUAACUUAGUUAAGUACCAAGAGCAUAUUUUGUGAGGAAAUCUUAUUAUAUAAUUUCUAGAAAACUUAACCUUUUGCUGAUGACCAAUUUACUGAGGGGGUGCGGGUGUCCAGAGAUCAUUGGGACUUCCUACUAAUGAAUACAGUGUAGGAUAAUUUUCCCCAGGCAAUUGCUCCUUUAUUCCGCAAAGGAAUCCCUGACCGAUGAUUUUCUAAGUCUGAAGGGUCUGCAUUUAGGUAACUUAACAAAUUUCUGAUGACCUAUGUUUGUGUCAUUUUUACUAGUUGUCAACCCAGGUGAGAGCAUACCUUUUAAAUUUAUAAACUAAAUUACAUUAUGGACAAAUGGUCCAAAAACACAAAAGAAGAGAAAAGAAUUACUGGGCUCAAAUAAAAAACAGCUAUUCACAGAUAAGACAAAUGGAAAAACAAAUAUACUGAGGCUGGGGAUUUAGCUCAGUGGCAUAAGCGCCUGCCUUGCAAGCAGGCAGUCGUGAGUUCGAUCCCUGGUACCGAUGAAAACGAAAAAGACAAACAAAACAAAACAAAGAAACAAACAAAAAACCAAAUAUACAUAGAUAAUUGGCUUAAAAUAUCAGAAUGCAUAGAAACACAUUUUUGGCCAAACUGAAUUACAGUAACUCUUUUACAAUCUUAGAAGUUUAUAAUUAUAAAUAGAUUAGUCAGAAUUAUUUGUAGGUCAAUUAUAAUCUCUUAUAAGAAGA